GUACUCUUCGUCGGCGUACAGGCAUCCCAUAUUCCGUCGGACGCCGUUCACCGUUGUCAGCCCUGCGUGGUUGUUCUCGGCCAAGCAGUGAAGAUGGGCCAACAACAAUGACUGAAAUUCUUAGCUAUUGUUAGAGUUGAAGACAACUUCAUCAAAAGGGUGCAUGAUAAAGCUUCAAAGGCAAUUUUAUAAGCAAAUUGCCAUUAUUUAUGGUGUACGUUUGUUGUAUGUUGGACUAGUCUCUUGGGAGUUGUUUGUUGUUCUCCAAAAAAAAAAAAAAAGUUAAAAAAGACAGUCAGCAUAUCAUGCUUUGCUGGGAAAAGGCCCUUCCCCUCUGAGCAACAAACUGCUGCACUGUGCCACCAUUGGUCAGGCACGAACCAUUCUUUUGAUCCACUGACUCAUUAACCAUUGAUGGUCUCAAACUUGAGUACUGGCAGGGCGAGGCCUUGUUGGAGACUGUAUUCUUCAACGAGUUAGAGACUACCGCAUGUCUCUGUCCAGGUCCAGGUCGUGAGGCAAAUAAAGUUUCUUCAUAGACUUGCUUUGUAGUGAAUUUUGGGCAUUAUGGUGGUUCAGUUCCAUGAGGCAGGAGUAGACAAUAUUGUGAUAUUUUCAUUUGUCAAGUGAUUAAAUUCCUGCAUUUGGAAUCCUGUGUUUUGUGGAUCCUGAUUAUGAAGGUCACUAAGUUGAACAUGAAGAUUCAGAGAACAAAGAAUUUUUGGGCUGGGCGAUCUUGAAGUCAUCCUUUUGACGGAUUUCUCAGUCUAUUUUCUCUUGGGUAUUCAGGUUCUUGAAUCUGAAGCUGAAGGCUACAAUUAAAUUAUAAUAAUACUAUGUAUUUGAAGGAAGGGUGUUCUUUAGUGUUAAAAGUGCACAAGCCUUCAAUCCCGUUUGUACUCAGCACAAAACCAAUUUUUGAUCUUGAUAAAUCCCAAGUCAAAUCUGCAAAUGUGCCCGUUCUUAAGGAAUCUGAAGUUGUGAAAAGAUUGAGACAUGAGCGAGAUGUUGUGUUGGCAAUUGAAUACUUCAAGUCCUUGGCCAAUUCUAGAGCUUUCAAACACACCCACUUGACAUACCAGAUUAUGAUUGAGAAACUGGGAAGAAAUUGCAAUAUUGAUGGUGUUCAGUAUCUUUUGCAACACAUGAAGUUGGAGGGGUUGGAUUGCUCUGAAGAUUUAUUCAUCCAUGUUAUACAAUGUUAUCGGCGAGCUGGGUCAGCUGAUCAAGCUUUGAAGAUGUUAUAUAGGAUAAGGGAAUUUGGGUGCAAGCCCACUGUCAGGAUAUACAACCACCUGUUCGAUUUGUUGCUGGAUGAAAAUCGGUUUCAGUUGAUCAAUCCUGUAUAUAACAACAUGAAGGGGGAAGGUUUGGAGCCAAAUGUUUUUACAUAUAACAUUCUUAUCAAGGCUCUUUGUCAAAAUGGAAAGGUGGAUGGGGCUUGCAAGUUGCUUGUAGAAAUGUCAAGUAAGGGUUGCCCUCCAGAUGCUGUGAGCUACACAACUAUCGUAUCUUCUAUGUGCAAGAUUGGUCAGGUAGAGGAAGCAAAGAAGCUAGCUGCGAGAUUUGCCCCUUUGGUACCUGUCUAUAAUUCUUUGAUACAUGGAGUAUGCAAAGAUAAUAAAUUUAAAGAGGCCUUUGAUUUGAUCAUUGAAAUGCUAGAUAAGGGCAUUGACCCAAAUGUUGUCACUUACUCUACAGUUAUCAAUUGUCUUUGUGACUUGGGGAAUGUUGACAUGUCUCUUGCUGUACUUGGCCAGAUGCUUAUGAGAGGAUGUAGCCCAAAUAUUCAUACAUUUGCUUCCUUGAUGAAAGGCUAUUUUUUGUGCAGCCAAUUAGGUGAGGUUCUUAGCCUGUGGAGUCGUAUGAUUCAAGAGGGAGUUAAGCCCAAUGUUGUUGCAUAUAACACUUUAAUAUAUGGUCUCUGCACCAAGAAUUAUAUAGAAGAGGCUAUAUCUGUUUAUAAUCACAUGGAAAAGAAUUGGUGCCCUCCAAAUGUUACCACAUACAGUUCUCUUAUUUAUGGUUUUGCAAAAUCUGGGACUUUGCUAGAUGCUUCUAAGACGUGGAACAAAAUGAUAACUUGUGGUUGCCGUCCUAAUGUUGUGGUAUAUUCCUGCAUGCUGGAUGUCCUUUGUCAAAACUCUAUGUUUAACCAAGCUAAUCGUCUUAUUGAGAUCAUGAACAAUGAUGGCUGUCCUCCAACUGUUGUUACAUUCAAUACAUUUAUUAAGGGCUUGUGUGCCAAGGGACGAGUGGAAUGGGCAAUGGGUGUGCUUGAUGUGAUGGAGAAAUAUAAGUGCUCGCCUAAUAUCAUAACAUAUAAUGAGUUGUUGGACGGUUUAUUUAGGGCUAACAGAUUUAAAGAAGCCAGUGGGCUUAUUAAGGAGUUGGAAGAGCUGGAGUUGGAACUAACUUCUGUUACUUAUAAUACUAUAAUGUAUGGGUUCUCUAGUGUUGGAAUUCAAGAACAGGUUUUCCAGGUUCUCGGGAAAAUGUUGGUGAGCGGAGCAAAGCCAGAUACCACUACCAUUAAUAUAGUUAUCUAUGCAUACUGUAAGUGGGGUAAGGUUAGAAUGGCCACGCAACUUUUUGAUAAACUUACAGAAGAAAAGGAAUGGCAUCCAGACAUAGUUGCAUAUACUAGUCUUUUGUGUGGCAUUUGUAAUUCGUUAGGCAUUGAAGAGGCCAUUGUGUAUCUUCAUAAAAUGACAACUGAAGGAAUCUUUCCCAAUAUCGCUACUUGGAAUGUCUUGGUUCACUGUUUCUUUAACAACUUGGGUCAUGUGGGACCAAUUCGCAUUCUGGAUGAUAUUUUGGGGAAUGGAUAGCGCUCAGCUUUUUGCUCUGUCUUAAUGAUGAUACUCAUCUGCAGAGUGCAAUGCGUAUUCAUCGGACACUUGCAAACAGGAGAAAGUGUUGGCAAAUGACUCUGAAAUCAAAGAAAACCUGGUGGGCCAGCUAAUACUGACUGUGUUCUGGAAUGAAAAUAGAAAAUGAAACAUAGAAAAUGAAGGGAAUCAUUACGAGAGGAAAUGAAGGACCUGGAUAUUGUUCUCCCACACAUUACAUCCGAGAGUUGAUAAGGAAAAUGAAUGAAAGGAGAGGUCUUCGCCUUGGUCGUGUCUAACUGUGAUGACAGAAUAUAUGAGGGGAGUCUAUUUUACCUACUUUGGUUGGGGUAUCGAAGGGAAAAGAAAUUUGUAGUUGUUUGGAGCCCCCACAGGGAAUGGAUUUUCUUCUGUAGGUGGAGAAUGAGGGGGAUUGGCUUUCCUCCAUUUUCUUCCUCUUUAAUUAGAAAAAGCAAUUCAAACAACAUUUAAGUGUCCCUUUUGUUUCCAACAUUUAUCCCAAUUCAGAAACACCAUAGAAGGGAGUGGGGAGAAAGUUGUUGUGGCACAUGAAAGAUUUUUUUAUGUUUAAGCCCUUAUAUGCUGAAUUAAUGGUUAGAAAAACUUUGAAGGUCCGAUGGUUUACGAAAACUUUUUUCAGUGAAAUCUGAGAUACAAAUCUUCUUUAGGAUGGAAGAUGUUGUACUUGCCUUGAGGUCCACUGGAGGUCAGGAUCAAAGCUCCGUUUCAUAACAUCGCUCCUGCUUUAACUCUCAUCAAGCUGUCAAUGAGCGCAUCUUUAUACAAUUCCCCAGUUACCACUAACUUGCAUCUUCAUUGUAAACUCUUCAUUAUUUAAUACAAUUUGCCUCAUGGAAUAAUACCAUCAACUGUAUUCUGGAUGAUGACGCUGCUUACUAACUAUGAAACCAAGGACACCAUGAUGAACCCACAGUUGUCAUCCAAUAUGCCCGAGUGACAACGUUGACUGAUUUCUUCCCACCACAUUGUUUUGCCAUGUACUUUCGUCCCUAUUUUAUGUUCUUUCUAUAAAAAAAUUACUCC